rnacentral:rRNA from 1 species
ACGGAAGGCAGCAGUGGGGAAUAUUGGGCAAUGGGCGCAAGCCUGACCCAGCAACGCCGCGUGAAGGAAGAAGGCUUUCGGGUUGUAAACUUCUUUUAUCAGGGACAAAUCAAUGACGGUACCUGAUGAAUAAGCCACGGCUAACUACGUGCCAGCAGCCGCGGUAAUACGUAGGUGGCAAGCGUUAUCCGGAUUUACUGGGUGUAAAGGGCGUGUAGGCGGGAGUGCAAGUCAGAUGUGAAAGCACGAGGCUCAACUUCGUGUCUGCAUUUGAAACUGACGUUCUUGAGUGUUGGAGAGGCUAACGGAACUCCUAGUGUAGUGGUGAAAUGCGUAGAUAUUAGGAAGAACACCAGUGGCGAAGGCGGUUAGCUGGACAAUAACUGACGCUGAGGCGCGAAAGCGUGGGUAGCAAACAGGAUUAGAUACCCUGGUA